AAGUUACUUUAUUAAAAUCCAUUUAUAUCUUUUUAAAUCUUAAAGUGAUUUUAAAUCACUCCAUUUUUUACAAAAAAACAUAAAAUACCAAUUCAACAGGAGGUAGAGUAACAUCCUCCAAAUAUCAUACUAGUGCUGGUGACAUGUAUUUUCUAAGAUCAGAGAUGAAAUUGAGACCCAUGAGAACAAUAUAACAUUUUCUGGAGAACAAGAGGUCUUGUUGUGGAUUACCGUAUUUGUAAGCCCUCUUAUUAAUGUGGCGAUUAUUCAUUGAUUCUUGUCUAGCAUUAAUAAGCAACACAAGCUAUAUAAAACCUGGAGGUCAGCUAGGUUUGUACUUACCAAAACAGAUGAAUUAGACUUGAGUCUGUUUGUGCCUUUCUAGACUACCUAUUUUUAAGUGUGUGUGUUGUGUUUGCAUUCAUGCACUCAUGCAUAUAUACAUGUAUGUUGAGGACCAGAGAGUCGCAAUCCAACUUUUUUUGUCUGUGUAUGUUCAUAUUUGUUCUCCAGGGUCAAAGCCUAGAUGCUAAAUUGCUUUUAUAUAGAUUUCUAAAUUGCAUUUAGAAAGUUUAAUAUAUCUGCUCUCAAUAAUUCUCUCUCAAAUGCCAUAGCCCCAGUCAAACAAUAUUUAAUGUAUAAAUAUUUACUGAAGUUGGGUCCUCUGUAAAAAGCUUUCUUAAUGGCUGAGCCAUCUUUCAAGCCUCUUUUUUAUGGUUUAAUUUUGGGUGAACAAGUAAGCAAUAGGCUCAGGUUUGAGGGGGCAAUGUUUUAAUGCUGUAGGUCAAACAAGGGGCUUUGCAGAUGUGAAGUGCUCCCACAUUCUGCUGUGUCUUCCCUUUAUUUUUGAACUCCAUAAGAGAUAGAUAGAUAGAUAGAUAGAUAGAUAGAUAGAUAGAUCCAUCCAUUUCCAGGGAGAAAAAAAAUGUAGGGCCCACUAGCUUGUUCCUGGUGCAGUCUACAUUAAAGAUUCUCAAGGGAACCAGAAAUAGCUAUUUGAUCUUUUUACCAAUAGAAAAUCAUCUCCAUUUAAGGUUAAUCUGCAGUCAGGUGAGAGCUCAGGUUGUGCCUUAUCCUGUGAAUCUUGGAACACCUUCCUGUGCACCAGAUGGCAAUUUGUUCCAGCUGCAUGUGGUAAACUGAAGUGACAGAGACAUAGACUGAAAAGGAUGGGAUAAGGAUGAACUGUAGGAUGCAAAUGGGCUAAAGUUAGAGGGAAAGAGAGAAGGCUAAUGAAGCACCAAGUAUGGGUCAAUGGAGUAGUAAAGGGCAGAGUUGGGGAGCGAAUAGGGGGAAGGAGGAGAAAUAUGAAAUCUCCAGUGGAGUACAGUACUUGAGACUAGAUGAACAUAAGCAAACAUGGAUUUGAGGGUGAAUGGGCAAAGAAAAUUGUAUUGGAAGUGAGGGAUGGUGAGGUAUAGCCAAUGUUCCUGCUCGAUGAAGUUGAGUAGAGAACCAUGCAGGUGAAUGAAAAGAGGAAAAGGGAUGGGUCAACAAAGUAGGCAGACUGCUAGAGUGAAAGAAUGAUGAGUAUUCAUAGGUAACAAGGAGCUAUGGUAUCAAGAGUUACAAUCACAAGACCUUGGGUAAUGCUAGGCAAUUGGUGAGAGCCAAGUAGAGAACCCCACCAUGAACAUAGGUAUAUGAGAUGGAAACAACCUGGACUCUGGACUCAGUGUUCAAUUAAGGUCAGCUCUGUUCUCCAUGUCCUUGUGGGUUAUACUUAGCAUGCCUCAAGAUAUCAUAUAUUUUUUUAAAAAAGUAGCUCAGGCCAAUGUAUCAGCUCCUCUGCUAAUGUUUUUAUUAGUUUAAGCCUUGUUCUCAGUGUCCAAGAUAAGUAGAUAUCUUAACUAUGAGAACACAAGGCAGGCAAAAUGGACAAAAAUAAACAUUCAAAGAAGAAUCCAAAAAAGUAAGUGUGCCUAUGCUAUACAAGGAUACAGUAGUUUCCUUUUACAAAGCCUAAGUUUUCUUUUAGUUGUCAACUCUGUUCUGAAAACAUUAAAUGGAAAAUUCCAGAAACACUGUUUUAAAUUGAGUGCCAUUUUGAGUUACACCAGACUUUACACCAUCCUAUAAACCAUCUCCUUAUCAGGCAUUUCCAUGUUAUUGGCUUCUACCAGUUAGUCACUUAGUAAGUAGAAGAUCAUAAAUGUAAGCCCAGCAGCCGGCCACAUGUGAUAUCACAUGUCUUUAAUUACAGCACUCAGGAGGCAGAAGCAGAUGGAUCUCUGUGAAUUCAGGGCCAGCCUGGUGAAUUCCAGAACAGCUAUAUAGCAAUACCUGUCUCAAAAUUUAAAAGGCUCAGCCAAUCACAGGGGCAUGUUUUUCUAGGUUCAAUGCAAUAAAUUCAAGUAAUUUCUGUUAUCCUAAAUCACUCAUGUAUUAAAAUAUUUUAAUUAUGAACAUAUUAGAAAUGGAUGAUAUACAAAUCAGUGGCAUCUGAUUGAAACUGGAAUAAACACUUCCUGUGUAAUACUG
rnacentral:lncRNA from 1 species